UACGAACCGGGCGAACGUUGUUCGGAAUCACUGGGCUUAAAGGGCGCGUAGGCGGGCGGGCAAGUCAGGGGUGAAAUCCCACGGCUCAACCGUGGAAGUGCCUUUGAUACUGCCGGUCUGGAGGGAGGUAGGGGCGUGCGGAACUUCCGGUGGAGCGGUGAAAUGCGUAGAUAUCGGAAGGAACACCGGUGGCGAAAGCGGCGCGCUGGACCUCUACUGACGCUGAGGCGCGAAAGCCAGGGGAGCAAACGGG
rnacentral:rRNA from 1 species